AGGUAAGCUACUAAGAGCGAAUGGUGGAUGCCUUGACUGGUAAAGGCGAUGAAGGACGUACUAGACUGCGAUAAGCUACGGGGAGCUGUCAAGAAGCUUUGAUCCGUAGAUUUCCGAAUGGGGCAACCCAAUGUAUAGAGAUAUGCAUUACCUAUAUAGGAGCGAACGAGGGGAAUUGAAACAUCUUAGUACCCUCAGGAAAAGAAAUCAAUAGAGAUUGCGUCAGUAGCGGCGAGCGAAAGCGCAAGAGGGCAAACCCAGUGCUUGCACUGGGGGUUGUAGGACUGCAAUGUGCAAGAGGUAAGUUUAGCAGAACAUUCUGGAAAGUAUAGCCAUAGAGGGUGAUAGUCCCGUAUGCGAAAAACAAAGCUUAGCUAGCAGUAUCCUGAGUAGGGCGGGACACGAGGAAUCCUGUCUGAAUCCGGGUCGACCACGAUCCAACCCUAAAUACUAAUACCAGAUCGAUAGUGCACAAGUACCGUGAGGGAAAGGUGAAAAGAACUGAGGUGAUCAGAGUGAAAUAGAACCUGAAACCAUUUGCUUACAAUCAUUCAGAGCACUAUGUAGCAAUACAGUGUGAUGGACUGCCUUUUGCAUAAUGAGCCUGCGAGUUGUGGUGUCUGGCAAGGUUAAGCAAACGCGAAGCCGUAGCGAAAGCGAGUCUGAAUAGGGCGCUUAGUCAGAUGCUGCAGACCCGAAACGAAGUGAUCUAUCCAUGAGCAAGUUGAAGCUAGUGUAAGAACUAGUGGAGGACUGAACCCAUAGGCGUUGAAAAGCCCCGGGAUGACUUGUGGAUAGGGGUGAAAGGCCAAUCAAACUUCGUGAUAGCUGGUUCUCUCCGAAAUAUAUUUAGGUAUAGCGUUGUGUCGUAAUAUAAGGGGGUAGAGCACUGAAUGGGCUAGGGCAUACACCAAUGUACCAAACCCUAUCAAACUCCGAAUACCUUAUAUGUAAUCACAGCAGUCAGGCGGCGAGUGAUAAAAUCCGUCGUCAAGAGGGAAACAACCCAGACUACCAGCUAAGGUCCCUAAAUCUUACUUAAGUGGAAAACGAUGUGAAGUUACUUAAACAACCAGGAGGUUGGCUUAGAAGCAGCCAUCCUUUAAAGAAAGCGUAAUAGCUCACUGGUCUAGUGAUUUUGCGCGGAAAAUAUAACGGGGCUAAAGU
rnacentral:rRNA from 1 species